UCCGCGCCCACGUAAAGUAGCCCGCGAGCCCCGCAGUCCGAGGGUCGGGCUGGCCUCUCCCCACCCACGAACAUGGCUGUCAAGUGGAGAAACCUUGAAAUGGACUGAGAGAGAAUCAACCGUCCUCGUUUGAUACCAAAGGAGCUUGAGGCCAAAGCAAAUCCAGAGAAGGAAGUGGAUUUCCUGAAUGUCACACAGCCAGCCAGUGGCAGCUUUGACGCUACAGAAUCUCAUCAUUUGAGACACAGUUCAGCAGUCUUGGCACCAUGCCAUGAGCCUGGGCACUUCCCUUAACUCCUAGACCAUCAUCCCAGCAGGAAGGACCAACCCCAUCUUGCCUUAAACCGAAGGUUGCUGGCAGAGUUUCAAGCUGUACACCCAGGAAUUGAGAAGUGUAACUAAUGAGCACGCCGUGAAAGCCACAGACCACCUCAUUAAAUGUCAGAGCCAUUUCCCAGCUUGGGGAGAAAUGAACAUCCUCAAAGAAAACUCACCUCAUCAAUUAAUGAAGACUUUUUUUAAUGUGGUAAAUAUUCAACAGACAUUUCUAAUAGACAAAGAGCAUUCACCAGAGGACUUAAAGAAGAAAAGCCCCAGAUUUCUGGUGGGAUGUGGAGG